ensembl:lncRNA
GGCAGGGAUGGAAGGUAGGCAGGGAUGGAAGGUAGGUAGGGAUGGAAGGUAGGAAGGGAUGGAAGGUAGGAAGGUAUGGAAGGUAGGUAGGGAUGGAAGGUAGGUAGGGAUGGAAGGUAGGUAGGGAUGGAAGGUAGGCAGGGAUGGAAGGUAGGCAGGGAUGGAAGGUAGGUAGGCAGGGAUGGAAGGUAGGUAGGGAUGGAAGGUAGGUAGGGAUGGAAGGUAGGUAGGUAUGGUAGGUAGGCAGGGAUGGAAGGUAGGUAGGGAUGGAAGGUAGGGACGGUAGGUAGGCAGGGAUGGAAGGUAGGUAGGCAGGGAUGGAAGGUAGGUAGGCAGGGAUGGAAGGUAGGCAGGGAUGGAAGGAAGGUAGGCAGGGAUGGAAGGUAGGCAGGGAUGGAAGGUAGGUAGGCAGGGAUGGAAGGUAGGUAGGCAGGGAUGGAAGGUAGGUAGGCAGGGAUGGAAGGUAGGGAUGGAAGGUAGGCAGGGAUGGAAGGUAGGUAGGGAUGUUAAUGUCAAUAGAAAAGUUUAAACUCUGAUUCCUG